UACAGAGGGUGCAAGCGUUAAUCGGAAUUACUGGGCGUAAAGGGCGCGUAGGCGGCACGGCAAGUCAGGAGUGAAAGGCCUGGGCUCAACCUGGGAAUUGCUUUUGAAACUGCCGAGCUAGAGUGCGGAAGGGGCAACUGGAAUUCCCAGUGUAGCGGUGAAAUGCGUAGAUAUUGGGAAGAACACCUGAGGCGAAGGCGGGUUGCUGGGCCGACACUGACGCUGAUGCGCGAAAGCCAGGGGAGCGAACGGG
rnacentral:rRNA from 1 species